CCUACGGGAGGCAGCAGUGAGGAAUAUUGGUCAAUGGACGAGAGUCUGAACCAGCCAAGUAGCGUGAAGGAUGACUGCCCUAUGGGUUGUAAACUUCUUUUAUAAAGGAAUAAAACGAGGCACGUGUGCCGUUUUGCAUGUACUUUAUGAAUAAGGAUCGGCUAACUCCGUGCCAGCAGCCGCGGUAAUACGGAGGAUCCGAGCGUUAUCCGGAUUUAUUGGGUUUAAAGGGAGCGUAGAUGGGUUGUUAAGUCAGUUGUGAAAGUUUGCGGCUCAACCGUAAAAUUGCAAUUGAUACUGGCAGUCUUGAGUACAGUUGAGGUAGGCGGAAUUCGUGGUGUAGCGGUGAAAUGCUUAGAUAUCACGAAGAACCCCGAUUGCGAAGGCAGCUUACUAAACUGUGACUGACAUUGAUGCUCGAAAGUGUGGGUAUCAAACAGGAUUAGAUACCCUUGUAGUC
rnacentral:rRNA from 1 species